rnacentral:tRNA from 1 species
AUUUAUUUAAUAUAACAAGUAUAAUUGACUUCCAAUCAAAAAGUUCGCAAAACGAAAUAAAUA